rnacentral:tRNA from 1 species
GGUCCUGUAGUCUAGCGGUUAGGACAUUGGAUUCUGACGCAUUCCAGAAACAAGAAUACCUUCUUCUUCCAAGAGCCCCGGUUCGAGUCCGGGCAGGACCU